AUUGAACGCUGGCGGCAGGCCUAACACAUGCAAGUCGAGCGGAUGAAGAGAGCUUGCUCUCCGAUUCAGCGGCGGACGGGUGAGUAAUGCCUAGGAAUCUGCCUGGUAGUGGGGGACAACGUUUCGAAAGGAACGCUAAUACCGCAUACGUCCUACGGGAGAAAGUGGGGGAUCUUCGGACCUCACGCUAUCAGAUGAGCCUAGGUACGAUUAGCUAGUUGGUGAGGUAAAGGCUCACCAAGGCGACGAUCGUUAACUGGUCUGAGAGGAUGAUCAGUCACACUGGAACUGAGACACGGUCCAGACUCCUACGGGAGGCAGCAGUGGGGAAUAUUGGACAAUGGGCGAAAGCCUGAUCCAGCCAUGCCGCGUGUGUGAAGAAGGUCUUCGGAUUGUAAAGCACUUUAAGUUGGGAGGAAGGGCAGUAAGUUAAUACCUUGCUGUUUUGACGUUACCGACAGAAUAAGCACCGGCUAACUCUGUGCCAGCCGCCGCGGUAAGAC
rnacentral:rRNA from 1 species